GACGCGCACGGAACCGCACCGCAAAGCCCGACAAGUUCUACUGAGGCGAACCAACGAACUGACCGCUUUGGUCGCUGGUCGAGAUAAUGUGGGGCAAACAUGUGUAAUUCAGCUCCUACGCUCUGGGACUCUCCGAUUGUGACAAACAUUGGACCGGAGAGAAGGCGAGGGGGGCCUUAUCAAGUGGAGCAGCGACGGGAAGGGCGCUUAUCUGGCGGCUUGGUGUUUGCUAGGCCAUUAAGGCAGUACGUUUGGAUGGUGAUGAUGUGCAAGGUAUCUCGAAAGCCCCUCGAUACAAUCAAUCAACGACGGUCCUCCACUUGAACCGAAACACAGUUUACUAUUUUGCACACUGAAUUACCCAUCAAAUAUCAUUGCCACUCCUCGAAAGUUGAAGCACUGAAAAAAUACCCAUAAAUAACAGGCAGUUGCAAAUAUUAAUUAACUGCUGAAAAUGUCA